GGAGGGUGCAAGCGUUAAUCGGAAUUACUGGGCGUAAAGCGCACGCAGGCGGUUUGUUAAGUCAGAUGUGAAAUCCCCGCGCUCAACGUAGGAACGGCAUUUGAGACUGGCAAGCUGGAGUCUUGUAGAGGGGGUAGAAUUCCAGGUGUAGCGGUGAAAUGCGUAGAGAUCUGGAGGAAUACCGGUGGCGAAGGCGGCCCCCUGGACAAAGACUGACGCUCAGGUGCGAAAGCGUGGGAGCAACAGGAUUAGAUACCCUGGUAGUCCACGCUGUAAACGAUGUCGAUUUGGAGGUUGCGCCCUUGAGGGGUGGCUUCCGUAGCUAACGCGUUAAAUCGGCCGCCUGGGGAGUACGGCCGCAAGGUUA
rnacentral:rRNA from 1 species